CAACAUAUAGUGAUGCUAUAUUGAGAUAUGGCUCCUCCUAAAAGUUAUCAAAAUCUGGGGCUGGAAAGAUGGUUCAGUAUUUUACAACACCAGUGUUAGCCCAAAACUGCCCGAAACUCUAAUUUCAUGGGAUUUAAAGCACUCUUCUAAGUUCUCUGGAUUCGUGUGCACACAUGCUGAGCAAACACUCAUACACAUAAAUUAUUUUUAUAAAGAGAGCCCCUAAAAUUCCCAUGUAGUAGCUCCUACCACAGCUCUUGCUCAGCUCUUCAAGGAAGAAGUUAGUUGAGACAGAGUGCAUGAUGCUGAGAAAUACUUCUGGAUCAUGAUUCAGAUCAGAUCUAAUGGUACGGUUUCCUAGAUAUAGUCACAGUCUGUUAAGUGCAGUAUUGUGAACCCUCUUCUGACCCUGACUCAGCUUUGGAACCUGAACACCCUAGCCCUGACCUUGUAGCUACAGUAUCAACAACAAUAUCAGUGUCUGACAGUCUAGAAUCCUGUAUACUAAAGCGUAGAACAGGAACCAAUCCUGGCUAGACCAUGUGUUGGCAUGUUAAAGCAGAACACCAUUUACAAACUCAAAGAGGGACGUGGGUAACAAAUGAGUCCCAGGUGAGCAGACAGGAAGACUAAACUGUGAACAGGUGUGGAUAAUCACACCAGGUGACAGCACCAUGUGAUGCUGUCAUUCUGAUGGAUAAUAAUAUGUGUGUUAUCAAGUGAGAGAAGAGAAGUUGAGUGCUUUUUAAAAAAUACUCUAAAAAGAUUACUUUGUUAUUUACAAAUUAUAAGUCAGAUUUGAGAAAAUAAAAAAGGUCAAUUCCUCCCAUAGAUACAUACUAUGUAAAUGAAAAGUUUUUCUAGACAAUAUAUGUAAAAGCUUUUGAAAAUGUUCAUAUAAAGCUAUUUGUGGUGGCAUGUGCCUUUAAUGCCAGCUCUAAGGAUGCAGAAAGAGGCAGAUUUCUGUGAGUUUGGGGUCCUCCUGCCUGUGUAGUGAAUUCAGACCAGCCUCAAAUACGUAGUGAGACCCUGGGCUAUGGUUUCUUCUGAUUGCUUGGUUGUUUUUGCUUUUUUAGGCUGGUCAAAGAAUGUAUAUAAAAGAUCACCCUAUUAUACAAGAGCAGUUAUUAAAUAUAAGAAUUUUAGAUGCAUCCUUUGAAGCUCUUCAUCUUGGAAAGAACGAGGGAGAGAGAAUGAAUGAAUUGGCUUUGGUUUCAGUUUCAGAUCGUUAUGGCUCAGAACUUCAGGAAGAGUUUUACCAACUUGAGCUGCAUUGAGUAGUGGCCAGCAUGGAUCUCUAGUGUGACAAUGAUAUGUGGAUCCAGAGCUCCUCAGUGGACUCUAUGACAUCCAGCCAGGAGCACCUGAAAUAUUCCUCCAAGUCAGUUACCCCUGCUUCCAGUCUACCAAGAGUGGUCCUGGCCAUUGGAAAACCCCAGCAGAGGUGCUGCCCACCCCUGUGACUGUCUCCCAGCCCAUAUGAACAGACCUCCCUCCACCACCUCCUCCACCACAGGUCCACCUACACCAGUGGUUUUGAUGGCAUUUCAGUGGCUUUGCCCCUCCCACCACCUUCUGCAAACAAGGCAGGAUCCCAGUCUGCUCAGGUGGCUGCUGGCUAGCAAAAAAGAAGGAGGAGCAGCAGUGGUGGUCUGAGAUAUAGAAGGCCUGCCUGGACAAGAGCAGAGAGGAAGCACGGGGAGCAGGAGUAGAAUCUGGGGCAGAUGCACUCUCAUUCCCUUAUCCCUGCUUCCUUUAUCUCUUUUGGCCACACCAGCCCAACCAGGAAAACCUUCCACACUGCAGAGGCCCCAAGAAACAGUUACUCUGGAGCUGUAGCCCCAGCAGCAGCCCCCCACUAUUGAGCACAGGAAUCUGCAGUAGAAAACUAUCAGUAAAGAGGAGUUGUCCUGUGGGGAUAGUCUGUCUCCAGACCCAUGGAAA
rnacentral:sRNA from 1 species